UACGGAGGGUGCAAGCGUUAAUCGGAAUUACUGGGCGUAAAGCGCACGCAGGUGGCUGAGUCAGUCGAUUGUGAAAGCCCUGGGCUUAACCUGGGAAUUGCAGUCGAUACUACUUAGCUAGAGUAUGGGAGAGGGCAGUGGAAUUCCCGGUGUAGCGGUGAAAUGCGUAGAUAUCGGGAGGAACAUCAGUGGCGAAGGCGGCUGCCUGGCCCAAUACUGACACUCAGGUGCGACAGCGUGAGGAGCAAACAGG
rnacentral:rRNA from 1 species